rnacentral:rRNA from 1 species
AUGGCAUUUGGCGUUCUCAUUGGUAAACCAAUCUUGGUGGAUCAGGAUUCCUUGGCUGUCCUUGGACCAGUGCGUCUCAAAAUCUGGGCUGUUGACCCCUUAUGUGUUCAUGGAAGUGUUGAUGUGUUCCCUGCUGCGGAUGGUUUCAGGCUUCGGGUUCGCGUGGAGGGGGCUGCUUCUUCCCGUUCCCCACCACCGCCCCCUCCCGCUGCUGAUCGUCAUGCUGGAGAUGCUGAUAAUGCUGACAACCUGAGUGGGGGUUCGCUUCCUCACUUCACUACGUCUGAGUGGGAUGGCAUGGGCUCAGAAAGUCGUGAGCUUUUCAAGGAGAAUGCCCCUAAGAACGGGAACGGUGGGAAGGAUCAGAUGGAGUCUGCACCUGUUCAGUAUGUCCCUGUUGCUCCACCUGCUGGUACCCCUAUGUCGGGGGUCUAUUCCAACCUCCCUGUUCGGUCGGGCUCCCCGUCGCUCUUGGGUAUUGAAGACCUCCCUGCCUCCCCGCGUCGUGUGGCGUCGGUCCCCUCCUCCAAGCGCAAAUCCUCUAUCCGUAAGUUCUCUGCUCGGAGUCGGGCCUCCUCGGGAACCAAGCUCUCUGCAGCGGGUUUGUGCCGUCGUCUUGACGGCGAUUUGGGUGAUGUGGCGGGCCUGUCCUCUCCGGCUGCGGUGCGGUCCUCUACGAUUCGGUCCCCAUCUUCUACGGCUCGCAAGAGUGGUCGGAUCCGGGACAAUGGCAUGAGGGUGGUUGACAAGGCGGCUCGACGCACGGCGGCUCAGGACCUCCCCGCUUCAGGUAUCCCUCCUUCCCCUGCACAGUUGGUUCAUAAUUCCCCCUCACCUACUAGGCUUGUUCUACCUUCCCUCUCGGAUGAUCACUUGACUAAGGACUUCGCUCCUGUGGUGACCAAGGUCGGUAAUCGUGUGAUGCCCUGGAGGGGCAGAUAUAAUACCCAGGCGGGCAAAGUGGCCUUAAUUAACGCCUGCCUCUCCUCUCUCCCUAUGUUCUUGAUGGGGUUCUACCUUCUUUCAAUGGGCACUCAUGCUGGUUUUGACAAACAUAGAGGGGCCUUUUAUUGGAACGCGGCCGAUAACAAGAGCAAGUAUCGCUUGGUUAAAUGGGACACCAUCUGUAAGCCCAAAAGCCUUGGGGGGUUGGGCAUCAUUAACACUCUGGUUAUGAACAAAUGUCUGAUCAUCAAAUGGUGGUGGAAGAUCAUGAAUAUUUCCCAGGACAAGCCUUUGUGGUUCAGCAUCUUAAAGGCGAAAUACUUCCCUUCCUGUAGCCCUAUGUUUGCCCGUGCUUCUGGGGCAUCUCAAUUUUGGCGUGAUCUUGUUAAACUCCGGCCUACCUUUCAAGGCCUUGUCAAGUUUGUUGUUGGCAAUGGGAAGUCUAUUAGGUUCUGGCUCGAUUGGUGGUGCGGGGCCUCCCCGCUGGCCUCUACUUUCCCUGUUUUAUUCUCUUACUGUCCAAACCCUCAGAUAUCUAUCUCUGAGCUUGCGUCGAGUAAUUGGGACCUUCAGCUGCGCCGCUCUCUCUCUCCUGUAGAGUUGGAAGACUGGCAGCGUCUUGCUGCCCUCUUCCCUUCGCUCUCGGAGGAGGAAGACACAGUUGUGUGGCCCCAUUCUCCCUCUGGCCGCUUCUCGUGGGAUGCCAUCUUCCCCGAUUCCUCUCUGUCCUCCCGCCCCCGCUCCACCUCGGACCACUCCCUCCUGGUUGUUUCCGCCUCGACUCGCAUCCCCGCCUCCUCGAGAUUCUUCUUUGAGCGCUCUUGGCUCCUCGACCCGCUCUUCCUCCCUACCAUCCUUCCCUCCCGGGCUAGGGCUGGCAACCGCCGCUGUGCUGCUGGUAACUUGGUCGCCAAGAAAAAAGCGGUCAGGUUUGCGUCCAAGGUUUGGAAAAGGCAACAUAGGUUCGUCCCCACGGCGGACAAUGACUACACUUUUGUUAUUGACCUGUUCGAUUUCUUGGAAGAGUGCAGAGCUUUGUGUCCUGAUGAGGCGCUUCUGCGCCAUGACGCUCGCGUCUGCCUCGCGGCCUCUGUCCAUCGCCAAUGCGUGUUUUGGCGGCAGCGGGGCAAAUGCAAAGCGGUACGGUUCGGCGACGAGAACACGCAGUACUUCCAUGCCCUUGCUUCCAUGCGGCGGAGCGGGAACAAUAUCCGUGUCCUCUACGUGGACGGCGCGGAAGUGGUCGCGCACAACGACAAGGCCGAGGCGCUGCGCGAGUUCUACGCCGCCCUCCUCGGGCGCCACAGCCGUGCUACCUGGGGGUUCGACCUCGACCUGCUCUACACCAACGCCCCCCGGGUGGACGCCGCGGUGCUCGUCGCUCCCUUCGGCCGCGCUGAGAUCAAGGCUGCGGUGGCCCAGCUCGAUGGUGCCAGCGCGCUCGGACCAGACGACCUCGGUCCGGCCUUCUACCAGGUUGCGUGGCCUGCUGUCAAGCAGGAUCUUCAGGCCCUGUUCAGCGCCUUCCACUCGCGGGCGGCAGCGUUGGACGGGAUUAACAGGGCGUUCAUCGCUCUCCUUCUAAAAAAGGAUGGGGUCCCCAGUCCCGGCGACUUACGUCCCGUCUCCCUGCAGAACGGUGACGUCAAGAUCCUCUACUGUGGUCUCACGACUCGGCUGCAGCGUCAGAUUGGAGCGCUCAUCGAUGAAGACCAGUCCGGCUUCCUAGCUGGACGAAGCAUCUCGGAGAACUUUGCCUACGCCACUGAGCUCGUCCAGCUCUGUCACCGCCGCUCUGCGCCGACCAUCGUCCUCAAGCUCGACUUCACGAAGGCUUUCGACUCCAUCGACUGGGGAAGCCUUCGCCGGAUCAUGCUGGCCCGCGGCUUCCCUACGCUGUGGUGCGACUGGAUGGAUGAUAUCUUCCACUCCUCCCGAUCUGCGGUCCUCCUCAACGGUGUCCCGGGGCGCUGGUUCGACAUCACCUGUGGCCUGCGGCAAGGGGGCCCCAUCUCCCCUUACCUCUUCCUCCUCGUCGCCGACGUCCUUCAACGCUUGAUCCGGCACGACGAGACCCUCCCGCACCCCCUAUCUGAUGGCGCGCCCCCCGUCGUGCUCCAGUACGCCGACGACACCCUUGUUGUCAUGCGUGCUGACCCAGCUGGGGCGUCUCGCCUCCGGGCCAUCCUCGACAUGUUCGCCGCGGCAACCGGGCUCGUCAUCAACUACCACAAGAGCACGGUCGUCCCCAUUUGCAUGGACGCGGGCAUGCUCUCGGAGGUUGUGACGGAUCUCCAGUGCACGGUGGGAGGCUUCCCGCAGACGUACCUUGGGCUCCCGCUUUCGAGUGACAAGCUCAAGUUGGCGGACUUUGCUCCUAUGAUCGCCAAAGUCGACCGCUACCUUGCGGGGUGGCGCUCCCGCCUGCUCUCACCUGCCGGGAGGCUGGUGCUGAUCAAUGCUGUCAUCGACGCCAUCCCCUCCUACGCUAUGUCAGCUCUGCGCCUGCCUCCUAAGGUGGUGUCCGCUCUCGACGCUCUUCGCCGUGCCUUCCUCUAG